rnacentral:lncRNA from 1 species
UUGUGGUUUGCUUUGUAUAGAUGGAAAGAUGGUGAGUAGGAUGAGAAAAUAUAUGUAGUAGCGAGAGAGAGAGAGAGAGAGAGAGAGAGAGAGAGAGAGAGUGAAGGGGUUUGUUUGAGUUGGAAGAUGGGGUGCAGGUCCAAAUGAUCCGUUGGAUGCAUGAGAUUUGACUGGAUGUUUUGCAUGAGAGAGAGAGAGAGAGAGAGAGUGUGUGUGUGUGUGUGUGUGUGUGUGCUUGUUUGGAUUAUUGGGGUGUUGUGUGUGAGUGUGUGCGCGCGCGCGCGUGUUAU